UACGAAGGGGGCUAGCGUUGUUCGGAAUUACUGGGCGUAAAGCGCACGUAGGCGGAUUGGUCAGUUAGGGGUGAAAUCCCGGAGCUCAACUCCGGAACUGCCUUUAAUACUGCCAGUCUAGAGACCGAGAGAGGUAAGUGGAACUCCUAGUGUAGAGGUGGAAUUCGUAGAUAUUAGGAAGAACACCAGUGGCGAAGGCGGCUUACUGGCUCGGAACUGACGCUGAGGUGCGAAAGCGUGGGGAGCAAAC
rnacentral:rRNA from 1 species